GGAACCGACGCGCAUAGAUCCCGCGGUAGUAGACUCUCCAUUAGAGGAACCCAUGCUCGCGCUGCAACUGAAGAAACUUGACCUUGUCGUCUGCAGUAUCAAGCUCAGCUACAGUUCCACACACUGGAGCUGGAAACCAAGAAGGAGGUAAAGCUGAAGGCGCUGGAGUUAGAGUUGGCGCUGUGAAAUAGGCCAGCUCCCGGUUCACCUGCGUCUCCUGCACCUGCGCUUCCUCUACCUGUUCAUCAGUCAUCGCCUGUGCUAGAGCUUGCGCCUCGUGGCACCUCGUCUGCUAAUAGCACCAGCUGCUUUCCAUUGCUCUAAGGAGUGAUUCUACUGCGGCAACGAGUCCAAAUACAACGAAAGAAGACGGAUCUUUUGGUAGGCUGGUUAAUGAUGACCACAAGCACCCAAAUGGCAGAAUGCAGAAGACUGAAGUGGAUGGAAGCCCAC
ensembl:lncRNA